rnacentral:rRNA from 1 species
UACAGAGGUCUCGAGCGUUAGGCGGAAUCACUGGGCUUAAAGCGUGUGUAGGCGGAUCGUUAAGUGCCUUGUGAAAUCCCACGGCUCAACCGUGGAACUGCUUGGCAUACUGGCGGUCUUGAGCAACCUAGGGGCGAGCGGAACAAAUGGUGGAGCGGUGAAAUGCGUAGAUAUCAUUUGGAACGCCAAUGGUGAAAACAGCUCGCUGGGGGGUUGCUGACGCUGAGACACGAAAGCCAGGGGAGCAAACGGG